GCCGAGGUGGCGGAAUGGCAGACGCCACGGACUUAAAAUCCGUUGUCCUUAACUGGGCGUGCGAGUUCGAGUCUCGCCCUCGGCACCA
rnacentral:tRNA from 1 species